GGCCCGCAGCCUAUCUGGCCCCUUUGGCUCCUCUGGGGAUCUGUGCCCUCUUGGAAUUGGACCACGAGGAUGCAAUAUGCCAACACCAACGUGGAAAAAGAAGAGGAACGAGGCCUGCAUUUUCAAAGCGCUAAAUGAUGUGGCUAAGUGCAUCCGUAAUUUACAUGAGCAGUUACUGUGACAACUAAUAGAGAACGUCAUAAGUAGCCAGUUGAGCAUGUAAUGACCUGAGUUCUAUGCACCGUUGUGCCUCCUUGGCACACCCAAUUAGGUGUGCAUACACAUUUCUCAUGCCCCGAAGGACUCCUGCCUCAGCACAGAGCCCUGAUUUCCCAGCACAAACCCAAUCCCAGCAGCCCAGCCCAGCACAGCACAGUUUAUGCCAUGCAAAGUGCUGGCACAAGCUCCGUGGCCCAGCACCCACCAGAGGCACAGGGAGCAGAUCUUAACACACCUGAGCUGAACUUUGCACGGGCUCUGAUGAAACUCAGCACGGUAUAUAUUUAGCCAACCAGCAGGCUGAUCAAGGACCUACCAAACAAAGUGCUUUUGCAACUGACACUACAUACAAGCAAAGGCCGGCGAGAUGGGACCACAGGAGGUGGGCAUUCCUCAACACACGGCUUAAAUUGCCCCAUUUGGAGAAGGUAAUCAUAACGUUCAAUUACACAUUUCAUCAGAGAAGCGUGAAGGCGCCUCAAUGCUUAAGUGCUGCGAAGGAGAAAAGAUGUGUUAACUAUUAAUUAUUGGUAAGCAAUCUCCUCUGUGAAGUGUUUCGAGGUUGGCUAUGUAAAGUGGCUCUGCAAUAACACACGGCAAGCAAUGCUCUUACAAUCCUAUGUCCAUUCUCUCAACUGCUUCUGCUGGGUCAGUCCGUAGGUAUCACUGUCAGUGCAAGGGAAUUCAUUUUCCUGAGGAAGUGUGGCCAUGGAAGGCUUCCCAACUCCACGCUCAUCUCUCACCCUAUUCCCCCCAGCAGCCAGCUUUCCCUGCAAGCACUUCUUGAGAUGAACCGGGUUGAGACCUGAGCAGCCCAGCAGCACUGCUCUCACCACAUCAGACUGCUCGUACAGUUUGAAACCAAGGUUGGGUCAAGCUGUUUUUUCCCCAGGUUGCCAAUUGAUAAAACAUGCCGCUCCCCAUUGAGCUGGCACUGCUUGUGUUCCGUGAUUUCUUUCUCUCCUUGAUGGCUGCAGCUACUCAGCCUGCGAUAGUGGGAAGACAUCGGCUCCAAAUAACUGCUGGGGAGCCAAGAAGCAUCCUAUGCCAAACCGCUUGUGUCAGAACUUUAUCUGUCCGCUUGUGUAGGUUUGAUCCUUUAUUAAAAGCACGGGGCGCUUUGUCAUCACUUUGAGUGGGCGCAGGAUCAGGGAGGUAAAUCCUCGUCUCUUGACCUUCCUGAAGGCCACUCUGCACCACUCUGCACGGCUACGGACACUGUCUGCAUCCUCUCGUAGCACUGCUGACCAUCCCCACCUGGCGAGACCCUGCAUUUCAAAGGGUGGCAAAUGCAACACAGCCCCUAAGACCUCACCGUCUGAGGGAGGUCACGUUCUGCUUUUUGCUUCGCCUUUUAAUGAAGAGUGUUACUUAACUUUUCAAUCCACAGCUGCAUCUUCGGAGUGAAAGCUGCAGUAUUAUGUGCCGUGGUCGCUACAGGAGAAAGGAAACCUCUUUCGUAUUUACUGACGUCUUCUGCCAAAUACUCGGGGUUUUCUGAAUGAUGGACUCACUAUUAUCUCCAUGCCAUUACGUAUAAACUUCACAGCACUUUCUGGAGGGAACUUGAGCAAGAUGAAAACCUCAGGGCAACAAUCCAUUAGGCUUUUAUUUUUAUAGGCUGGGUUAAAUCUUCUUGAAACUGGUAGAUCUAACUGCGUCCCUUUAUUUAGGGUCGCUGAAGGAGACAUUAAGGCUGUGUUUCUACCCACAAUGCAGGAUGGCUCGUGCACCUGAAGGCUCAGAGGGGACAGUCUUGGGCAGGACAUUAAAAGGAAGGAGAUUUUGUGUAGAUGGACAAUGUGGUUCAGGUGGAGAAGAAGACAGAAAGAGAGCGUGUUGAAACAGGCAGGGAACGGAAGCUUCGAGCAGCCUGAACAAUCACUGAUACAAAGCCUGGACUCAACACGAGAAACAGAGGGGUUUGGGGUCACAGUGCUGCCGGGAACAGGUGUGGAGCUGGAAGCAAGGAAGCUCUCAGCUGUGUGAUUUCUUCCAUGUUCAGGAAAGGAGGGCUGAGAGCGUUCUUGUAAGCACACAGAAAUACAACAGAAAUACCCUUCUUCAUCACUCCUCCUCCUCCAAUGUGAAUCAACCAGCGAGACCUUGAACGUUAGCCAGCAGCACAGGUCAAAGGGAGGAAAUGUGCUGCAAAGCCUCCCACAUCUGCACCAUUUAACUCUUCCUGCUUGGUUUGGGAUUAAGAUGGCACACGGACAGCAGCUCUUCUCCCUCAGCUCAGCAGAGCAGGCCGUUCAGGCCGAGGUUUAGGACACUGCUGUCCCUAAUUGCUUUGGAGAUGGAUCCUUUUUAUGGCCUUCCUUUGCUAUCGUAACAAAUCAAACUUCCCCAGGCUUUGCUGUAAGCAGUUCGAACAAUGCUGUGUGCUCCGCAGGAGCUCUUCAAAAUGAGGCACCUGCCACUGGCUUUUCUCCUGUAGGUGAAUUAAUCUGCCUUGCGUGAGUAAUCCUAUUUAAAACUACAGGUUGCCUUGCAAGAAUGAGGGAAGCAAGUCUGAGGCAUGCUUUUAUGCAAGUGCAGCAAAAAGGCCACCUAGCAGUUCAUGAGGGGACACUUCUGCAAUAAAACUGCAGUUGCCAGUAACUGCAGUAAUAGAAUAAAGGAUAAUUUAAUAACGGGAGUUUUAACUCAUUUAACAGUGACUACAUUCAGAACACUUUCUCCAAGUGACCGGGCACACUGUGCUUCCCUAACUCUACUUUCUGCUAAUAAGUGAAAGAAAAAAAAGCAGGCAGUAGUCUCCUCCUUCUGCCUUUAUUGUGAUGUUACAGGAGAGCACUGCUCCAUGUAAAGCAAUUGAUUUUGGUAAGAUGAAGGACUAAGAUACAAGCUGGACACCCAGGCCAGCCUUGGAGCAACGUGAAUCACACAGUGCCAUCUCCAAACGACAGCAGUCAGCUCCUUUAGUAGCGGGUAAACCUAAGCCUAAAUGCAAGGACUCUGCAGCGACUAAAGGAGAUCCUACGGAUGGGACUCUGCAACCUAAGCAAAGCAAAAGGUGCAGAAAUGGGUCGCUCAGUGCUCACGUAGGAGCCGUGCAUCCCGAAUUUAGUCUCCAUCGUCUCUGCUCUGUUGAAGCAGUCCCCGUGCGGUGCAGGUUUAACGCCUGGGAGAUCUCUCGUACCGGCUGGCUGGCUGCUCCGUGCCGCAUCGCUUCGCUGGUCGAGUUCAGCGCAGCAAAGAACCGAACCGGACGCUGCUCCGGAGCCGAACGAUUCGAUGGGAAACCUCUA